UCCAACCAAGACUUGCUUUAUUUAAUUGGCCAUGUCAGCACACCAGUCAUUACCUAACUUGCCAUCAAAAUUAUUUUUAAAUGACAUAAAUAUUAUAUGUAAUAUAAACCAAUAUAUUUUAAAACAUCUCCUCCUCACCCUCAAGAGAUGAUUUUUAGGUAUGAAAGGGUCACAAAGGAGAAGAAAAGAAAUUUUAAAAAGAGAAGAAUCUGGUCAACUUUAUUAAUACCCAAACCCUUGUAAUUUAUAUUAAGUCAACAAAAUACUAUUGCUGGAUGAAAUCUCACUUGUUAUUUUUAUUUGGGGGAAUAAGCGGGAUGAUGAACAAAAAUUUACUCAUGAUCAAACAUCAGUUUAUUUCCUUGCUAACUGAAUGUUUUGAUUUAAUUUUAGGGAUACCACAGUACAAAGUCUUACUCUUCAGCCUUCAGUUAAAGAUGGACUAAUUGUAUACGAAGACUCACCUUUGGUUAAGGCAGUAAAGUUGGGUCAUAUUCUGGUAGUAGAUGAAGCAGACAAAGCACCAACAAAUGUCACCUGUAUUUUGAAAACUCUAGUAGAAAAUGGAGAAAUGAUUCUAGCUGAUGGAAGACGCAUUGUUGCAAAUUCUGCUAAUGUAAAUGGGAGAGAAAAUCUUAUAGUGAUUCAUCCUGAUUUUAGGAUGAUUGUUCUGGCCAACAGACCUGGAUUUCCUUUCUUAGGCAAUGAUUUCUUCGGCACCUUAGGUGACAUUUUUAGCUGCCAUGCAGUUGACAACCCCAAACCCCACGCAGAGCUUGAGAUGCUCAAGCGGUAUGGACCGAAUGUGCCUGAACCCAUCCUUCAGAAGCUUGUGGCUGCCUUUGGAGAG